rnacentral:sRNA from 1 species
UAAUUUAAAUAAAGUAUACAAUUUAAUUUAUACAAAAUAUUAAUGUCCGUGCUGUAUAGCACAGGUUAUGAUCUAGUUAUUAUGUAAAGUGUUAAAGUGUUUAAAGUGUUUCUU